AGCGGGGUAGGGUAGCCAGGAGUGCCCGUCGGGCUCAUAACCCGGAGGUCGGAAGUUCAAAUCUUCCCCCCGCUA
rnacentral:tRNA from 1 species